rnacentral:sRNA from 1 species
GGAAAAAAUCUGAAGUCUCCUGAGACCUGUGAUGUCUUCAAAGGAACCACUGAUG